CUUGAUUGAUAGAUGUUAUUGAUCAUAGCGAUACGGUUUUAGCGUUUUCCGUGUUUCCCCUUCCUGUAUUCAGCAGUGGCGUGCCGCCACCGCUAGGAAAGUUAGCUCCGCUCCUGUUUGGAUUGAUAGUUUGGUGAAACGUGACAACGGGGAUGUUUCGUGCUCGACACUGAACAGCCAUCCGACAUAUCAAACAAACAAAAAGAAUCUGUAGACUACAAAGCCAAUGGAAAUAAUUAUCCUUUAAUUAUAUCCUGGGCCUUUAUAUGUUCUAAAUAGGCAGGUCAGUAUUUUUAACCGUUCAUCUUAAUGCCACCACCACACAGUCUGGACACUUUGAUUAUUAUCAGUCCAAUCGCUAUGGAAUGUUUUGUAUGCCUUGAUUUCCUUCCCAGUUUAGACAUUAAGUCUACAUAUCCGUUUUAAUCGUCUACUGGCUACUGGCUCCAAAUAAAGGUGACCUCCUAAUUAAUUCUCGUUCUCGUCUCGACCUUCUGGCUCACAACUAAUCCCAGAGCAUUCAUUCCCAUACGCCCACCUUGUUAACUCGUUAAUUAACUUCACCUGUCUCUCACACGCACCCACACGUCUAUAUUAAGGUGCUCACGUAGGUUUGGUUUAAUUUUUAUGUCUUUAGCCUCGCUUAUCAGGUUUUCGCACCAGGUAGUGCGCUCGCGUUUUCCGUCAAUUUCAGCUAAACUCAAAAGGGACCCACCGCUACUUAUAAACGUGUUUUUGUGUGCUACUUUUGACUGAACAAUCCUGACAAACAUGUCAACCAGAGGAAGGUCUUCAACAAAGAACACCACAGACAAUGCCUUGCUGAUGACUGACUUAACUUGACUGUAUGGGGGGGCCCCUUGCCCCCCCAUAUAUCACCGACGACGUCCUAAUUGUGAACGGCGGGGGAUGAGGUCACAGACUCGACUCCUCCAGACCCACUAGUCACUGACUCGCUGUUCGAUCACUGACUGAGUGGUGAAGAGGCUUAUUGAGCAUAAAACUUGUAACUGGGUUUUUGAUCGUGGACAGUAAGGGUUCUCUGCCUGAUGACUCCAUUGAACGCCCCCUUGUGAUUGGUAUCACUUUGACUGUUGCAGCGGCAAGGAAUCGUCUUAUCUCCUGCCAGUUGUAAAUGGUGUUGCAGUGUACCGCGUGCUAAAGGAGCCUGGGAAAGGAGGAGUCAAAGCGCCUUUCCUUAGCAGUUGGACAAUAAUUGGACCCGCUCUCAUCAUGGCUGCCACUCCUGGGUCAUUUUACUCUACCUUUCUGUCCACAAACCUCAUCUCCCUUGUAAAUGGUUUUCCUGUUAAUACUUAAACUAAAAUGGUUGCUAUUAUUUUAACUUGUGUCGCUUCGUGAAUAAAAACUAUUUACAAAUAUUUGCAUUUUAUUGAUGAAUCCAGAAAAAGGUUUUCAUAUUGAACAGAAGAAAAUUGAAUUUUUAGGCAAGUUGGCUGCAAGCUAUUGGGUGAAAAGGGAUUUCAGUUGUGCAAACACCUCACUUGCAUCAAUGUCAUGUGUUGAUUC
ensembl:lncRNA